GAUGAAGAACGUAGCGAAAUGCGAUAAGUAAUGUGAAUUGCAGUCUUCAGUGAAUCAUCGAAUCUUUGAACGCACAUUGCGCCCGCUAGUAUUCUGGCGGGCAUGCCUGUUCGAGCGUCAUUUCAACCCUCAAGCCCAGCUUGGUGUUGGGGGCCGGCCGCGACUUAACCGCCGCGGCCGCCCCCGAAAUACAGUGGCGGUCUCGCUGCAGCCUCCCUUGCGUAGUAGCACACCUCGCACCGGAGCGCGGCGCGGCCACGCCGUUAAACCCCCAAACUUCUGAAUGUUGACCUCGGAUCAGAUAGGAAUACCCGCUGAACUUAAGCAUAUCAAUAAGCGGAGGA
rnacentral:misc_RNA from 1 species